rnacentral:sRNA from 2 species
AUGCAGUGAUGGAGUGAGGUCAUCGCUUGACCACCUUAGUAGUACUAGUAUGCACAGAACCCUGAAUUAAAGAAGAAAAAAAAAAAGAAAGAAAAGAAAAAAGGCUAGCUACCAGCUGCCCCAUUGUUUGGUAUGGGACUUGGUAUCGAACCUCGGGCGGAUGCUGGUGCCCAUUUGACAUUUGACAUAAGAGGUAGAGAGGUAGAACUCCUCUGAUCGCACUGUACAGCACUAAUGUACGGUAUUUCCUCGCGCUGCUGCUUCUGAGGUAUCACAGCCGGUCUGAGUCUGAAGAUCGAAGG